CCUGGCUCAGAUUGAACGCUGGCGGCAGGCCUAACACAUGCAAGUCGAACGGUAACAGGAAUCAGCUUGCUGAUUCGCUGACGAGUGGCGGACGGGUGAGUAAUGUCUGGGAAACUGCCUGAUGGAGGGGGAUAACUACUGGAAACGGUAGCUAAUACCGCAUAACGUCGCAAGACCAAAGAGGGGGGACCUUCGGGCCUCUUGCCAUCGGAUGUGCCCAGAUGGGAUUAGCUAGUAGGUGGGGUAACGGCUCACCUAGGCGACGAUCCCUAGCUGGUCUGAGAGGAUGACCAGCCACACUGGAACUGAGACACGGUCCAGACUCCUACGGGAGGCAGCAGUGGGGAAUAUUGCACAAUGGGCGCAAGCCUGAUGCAGCCAUGCCGCCGUGUAUGAAGAAGGCCUUCGGGUUGUAAAGUACUUUCAGCGGGGAGGAAGGGAGUAAAGUUAAUACCUUUGCUCAUUGACGUUACCCGCAGAAGAAGCACCGGCCAACUCCGUGCCAGCCGCGGC
rnacentral:rRNA from 1 species